AUUGAACGCUAGCGGGAUGCUUUACACAUGCAAGUCGAACGGCAGCGCGGACUUCGGUCUGGCGGCGAGUGGCGAACGGGUGAGUAAUGUAUCGGAACGCGCCCAGUAGCGGGGGAUAACUACGCGAAAGCGUAGCUAAUACCGCAUACGCCCUACGGGGGAAAGCAGGGGAUCGUAAGACCUUGCACUAUUGGAGCGGCCGAUAUCGGAUUAGCUAGUUGGUGAGGUAACGGCUCACCAAGGCGACGAUCCGUAGCUGGUUUGAGAGGACGACCAGCCACACUGGGACUGAGACACGGCCCAGACUCCUACGGGAGGCAGCAGUGGGGAAUUUUGGACAAUGGGGGCAACCCUGAUCCAGCCAUCCCGCGUGUGCGAUGAAGGCCUUCGGGUUGUAAAGCACUUUUGGCAGGAAAGAAACGUCGCGGGCUAAUACCCCGUGGAACUGACGGUACCUGCAGAAUAAGCACCGGCUAACUACGUG
rnacentral:rRNA from 1 species